GGCGGCGUGCCUAAUACAUGCAAGUCCAACGGAAUUUAAUAGAGCUUGCUCUUUUAAAUUUAAUGGCGCACGGGUGAGUAAUAUAUAGCUAAUCUGCCCCUUGCUGGAGGACAACAGUUAGAAAUGACUGCUAAUACUCCAUACUCCUUUUUACCAUAAGAUAAAUCGGGAAAGAAUUUCGGCAAGGGAUGAUACUAUAUCGUAUCAGCUACUCGGUGGAGUAACGGCCUACCGAGGCUAUGACGCGUAACUGGACUGACAGGAUGAUCACUCACAUUGGAACUGACACACUGGCCACACUCCUACGGGAGGCACCCCUACGGAAUAUUGCGCAGUGGGGGAAACCCUGACGCAGCAACGCCGCGUGGAGGAUGACACUUUUCGGAACGAAAACUCCUUUUGCUAGGGAAUAAUAAUGACGGUACCUAACGAAUAAGCACCGGCUAACUCCGUGCCAGCAGCCGCGGUAAUACGGACGGUGCAAGCGUUACUCGGAAUCACUGGGCGUAAAGGACGCGUAGGCGGAUUAUCAAGUCUCUUGUGAAAUCUAACGGCUUAACCGUUAAACUGCUUGGGAAACUGAUAAUCUAGACUAAGGGAGAGGCAUAUGGAAUUCUUGGUGUAAGGGUAAAAUCCGUAGAUAUCAUGAAUAAUACCUAUUGCGAAUGCGAUCUGCUGGAACUUAUCUGACGCUAAUGCGUGAAAGCGUGGGGAGCAAACAGGAUUAGAUACCUUGGUAGUCCACGCCGUAAAUGAUGUAUACCGGUUGUUGCCUGUGCUAGUCACGGCAGUAAUCCACGUAACGGAUUAAGUAUCCCGCAUGGGGAGUACGGUCGCAAGAUUAAAACUCAAAGGAAUAGACGGGGACCCGCACAAGCGGUGGAGCAUGUGGUUUAAUUUGAAGAUACGCGAAGAACCUUACCCGGCCUUGAUAUGUAACAAAUCAUCCAGAGAUGGAAGAGUGUCUGCUCGCAGAAAUGUUAAGACAGGUGCUGCACGGCAGUGGUCAGCUCGUGUCGUGAGAUGUUGGGUUAAGUCCCGCAACGAGCGCAACCCACGUCAUUAGUUGCUAACGGUUCGGCCGAGCACUGUAAUGAGACUGCCUUCGUAAGGAGGAGGAAGGUGUGGACGACGUCAAGUCAUCAUGGCCCUUAUGUCCGGGGCGACACACGUGCUACAAUGGCAUAUACAAUAAGACGCAAUAUCGUAAGAUGGAGCAAAUGUAAAAAAUAUGUCCCAGUUCGGAUUGGAGUCUGCAACUGGACUCCAUGAAGCCGGAAUCGCUAGUAAUCGUAGAUCAGCCAUGCUCCGGUGAAUACGUUCCCGGGUCUUGUACUCACCGCCCGUCACACCAUGGGAGUUGAUUUCACUGGAAGCGGG
rnacentral:rRNA from 1 species